CCCUCUCCCUGUUCACUCUCUCUCUCUCUCUCUCAAAUACUAAAAACCAUCUUUAAUCAGUGUUCUUUCUCAUCAGUAGGAUCACGCAGAGGCCCGUGCAUGCACAUGUGUGAUGUCCACAGGAGACGCAGGUGAGCCCAGGGCAUGAGCCACAGACCGGUGCCUGACCCUGAGGAUCUGGGUCCCGACCCGUGUCCUCCCGGCCCCCUGGCCGAGGCGUGAGGGGGCCUCGCGGUGCGGAGGGGGCUCAAACAGCGAGAACAGGCAGGGAGGUCCAGGCGGCUCCUCGAGCCCACAGGCCUCUGAGACGUGAGUGGUGCUGACGCCUCCCGCGGCCGCUCCAGGCCUCAGGGCCAACUGUCCCGUGCAGAGACCCCCCACGCACACGCACACUCCCUCUCGGCUCUCCUUCCAGCCACGCCCACGCCUCUGCAGGCCCAGGACGGGAUUCAGACAUCCCAGAGGAAGCGGGGCUGCUGUUCCUGAAGGGAAUUAAAAGCCACAAGCAGGGAGCUAAGCCGCUGGGGCUGCGGCCUCCUCGCGAAUUUUCUUUCACGUGGAUUUUCCUCCCACUAAGGCGGUGCUCGUGCAACACGGCCGGGCUUUCGUUUUUCUCCCUUCGAGAGGAUUUCUAGUGAAACGUAACCAGCUAACAAGGAAAUCGCCAAAAUGAGGUCUAAAAACCUCCAUCAGAAAGUUUAACAUAAAAUCCUGUCACACACAGCACGUGGUUUCAGGCCGUAGAAAGACAAGCUCAAGGCGCGGCCCCGGCGGGCGGCCGUCACACACACGCCUCUGCCCCGCGUCACCCGAGGGAACGCGCCACGCGGGAGAGCCACCAACACCCAGAAACGCAGACGGGGAGGGGGACGCCCUCGGCCCCAGUCAGCGUCAGAAAAUCCUCACGCGAGAGCGCCCGGGGCACAUCUGUUCUGCUCCCAGAGACAGAAGGGGUUUUCCACGGCAAAGUAUUUCCUUUAGCGGAAUUUCUGCUCUUACUGUCACUGUAUCUUUUGCACAGACACCAUUCUGAGUGUGUGCGCGUGAGGACGUCUGUGCCACUCCGCCUGGGACGCUCCUCGCAGGUGUGCCCUCGGAGGCCAGACCGCGGGGGUCGAAGCUGCAGCCCACAGACAGCUGCACAUUCCCAGAGUUCUGGGGACACAGAGGCUCGUGGGCUGGACCAUCUGUGGCGCAUGGGGAGGGACACGCCUGGGCACACGCAGGGUGUGGCCUGUGGCUUCCCGCCUGGAUGCUAGGAAGGACACCCGGGGGCCGCCCCACCCGACACGCAGACCUCCCGCAUCAUUCUGAUGCCACUUCCUGGGCACAGGCACGGCCCUCUCUCAGCCACGCCACGCACGGGGACUGGCUCUCCGCUCCUUCCACUCACAGGGAAGACUGACACCCACACACGUACACACACACCCGCCCAGGCCCCUGCAUCCGGUGGCAGCGUGUGACCAGCUCUGACCAAUGAGCUGCGAGCAGAGGCACCUCUGGGCCCGAGGACUUCAUGGCUGGUGCUCCACACUCAACGCCUCCGGCGAGGCAGCCGGCAAGCGUCGGCGGCUGGUUACCAGACCUGCCGGGCCCCGAGGUGCCGCAGGGAGCAAAGAGCGCUGCGAACCCAGGACGGCCGUGCAGCUUGAGCAGGAGAUCAGCCGCCGAGAUCGGGAAACACCUGCUCCUGCAGUGUGAUCUCAGCUUUCCAGCCUGAGAUUUCUACUACCCUCAAGUCGCAACAGCACGCGUGUGAAGUUUCGGUCACAGCCACAUCGUCUAUCAAUAAAAACCCAAGAUGUUUCCAGGAAUGCCUUCCACUGGAAGCCGGCAGUAGUCAGAGGGUAAACAAAGAAAAGAAAGGCAAGGCAGCAGAAGAUAACGUGGUUUCAGGUCCAGGGACACGAGCAUUUCCUGGGCUCCGCCCUGCCUGAGAGGCGAACCGGGCUCCUGUGUCUGGGGGCCCAGCAGGGUGGCCCACGACCCCCCCGAGCCCCCAGCAGCCCGCCUCCAGUGCAGCCCAGCGGCCGGUUACCUCCGCCCUGAGCAGCGGCCCGGGGAGGCGCGUCCUCCAGAGGCAGCAGACGGUCCCCGCGUGUGCACGUGCCUGCACACUUGCUCAUAUCCAGGACCGCAGCCAUCGCCCAAAAAAGAGAAUCGAACCAAACUGUUCCUGCGUCCUUGCCAAGUGGUGGGCAAGCCUUCGUCUCACUGGGCCUGGAAAACAGAGCGAGCUGGGGAUUAAGAGAGAGCUGGCAGGGCGGGAGUGACGUCCCGGAGCCACACGUGGGAGCCCGGCCCGGGAGCCAAGAGGCAUAUGCGUGCGCCACCAUAUGCGGGGCUGUCUGGUGGCCCCGCGUCCUGAACGACUCACGCCAGGAGGGAGAUGGCGGGAUGGCCUGUUUCCAUCCCAGUGAGGGGAGGCGCGGAGCCCGGGGGCCAAGAGCCUCUUGUCGGCCCACCUGGUCGGGAUGGGCCAGGCGACCUGGGAGGAUGACCCACCCCCGUCGCUGUCGCCGGAGCUGGGUCCACACCCUCGGGUUAAGGAGAUGCAGCGACACCAGGCCGGCUGAGUCCCGUGGCGGCCCCAGCGGGCCCCUCUCCCCCUGUCCCGCCAGCGCUGCCCGGGCCGCUCGUUACCACCCGGCCCCCUCGUUACCACCCGGCCCCUGCAGGCCUGUGAGUCUGCAAGGCCUGACAUCACAAAACCCAUGUCAGUAAGAAAAGACCGAGGGGGGGGGGGGAGGGCACCUGCUGGGACGAGCACUGGGUGUUGCACGGAAACCAACUUGACGAUAAAUUUCAUACUAAAAAAAAAAAGACCGAGAGGAAACGGACCACGGUAAAGAGUGUGAGCGCGGCUAAUUGUUUUUCUGCUAUUGAUUUCCUCACUCUUUGUGAGAUGUGUUUCAGUCGCUUAGAAGUAUUGGGAAAGUAGUUAUUAAAAUGACCACGAGCGCUUUCAGCCGGGGAAUACGCACUU